rnacentral:lncRNA from 1 species
AGAAGAACAAGAUGGAUUCAGGAAGGAAUUAACUCUGUGCAUGCCCUACAAUCUAAGGUGGGCAAAGGGAAGAAUGUGGAGUGUUUUGGCAGAGCCCCUUGGGAUGGUUGGGAAAGAUUGAGGGAGUGGGUGGGUGGCAGUGGGGGUGACAUUUGUGUGGAAUGUUAAGGCCACAGACACAUCCCAGGCUGAGCUCCACGUGGCCCCUUAGAGUGAGCUGCUCACUCAGGGUACUUCAUCUGGGUGGAGGGAGGCAGGAGUGGAAACUCCAGGCCUAAUUGCUGGGUCUCUCUCAGCUCUUCCAGGGAGCACAGGGCAGGAAAUUCCUCAAAUUCCAGGCUUGUAGGAUCAUUGCUGAGCGUAACCGCAGAGCAUCUUUUUUUCCUUUGCAGUUUUAAAGCAGCAGCAAAUUAGAAGGGUUUAGUGGGGCUGAUGGCUAAAAGAAAGGCCCCAAACAUAACAGUCUCUUGCGAGGAAAGUUCCAGAUCUGGGAAUCCCAGAGAAAUUGGCUCUGAAUUGAGUAACUUUGAGGUUGAAAAUAGACUGCUGUGGACAGGGACAGGAAUUUUUCCCAGGGUGAUUUUAUGACCUUUGGAAAGGAACUUGCUUUAGGAGAACCUGAGCAAGAAUUAUCUUGUUGAAAUAAAUGAUGGCGGAACAGGGAGCACAUCCAAAGGGGUCUCUGGGGUUUACAGAAUUUCCUUUUGCUCAGAGGGAGAGGCCAGUCAGGUCUCCUCCCACAGCACUGGAUGGGGGCGGGAGGGAGAGCUGAUGCUGUUCCACACACUGUUCCCUGAACAGCCCACACAUCUUCUCACCCCCACGCUCAUUUGGACCACUGAUCCUUCUUCCCAUCCCGUGCCUUCUGAAAUCUGGAUUUGCCUGGAGAUGCACUUUUAAUGCCCCUUUCUCUCUUUCCUUUUUUUUUUUUUUUUUUUUUUUUUUAAAGGGCAUAUGGAAGUUCCCAGGCUAGGGGGUCGAAUCAAAGCCACAGCUGUCACCCUACGCCAUAGGCGCAGCCACAUGGGAUCUGAGCCAUGUCUGUCAUAGCUGCUCAUGGCAACACCGGAUCCUUAACCCACUGUGUGAGGCCAGGGAUCAAACCCACGUCCUCAUGGAUCCUAGUGGAGUUCAGUAACUGCUGAGCCACGAAGGGAACUCCUACUGCCUCUCUUAAGGUAGUUUUCUCUACUCCCCCGAAAGAAUAAGCGAUUCUUUCCUUGGGACUUCCAAAGCAAAUUGCUUAAUUUCGUUGUGACACUUAUAUUCUGCCUUAAUCAUAGGAAGUUGUUUAUCCCUGUCUCUGUCACCAGACUGUAACACUCCUGAAGGAUAGGGAGUGUUUCUUGUUCUUAUUGGUAACUUCCUUCUCUUUCCUCUUCUCCCCACGCAUAGUGGAGUGCCUGCUACACAAUAUAUCCACACACAGAAACACACAAAUGCUUAUUGAGUGAAUAUUCCGGGCAUUGGCAGGUCCCUAUAAUGAAAUUUUAAUUCAGAGUCUGGUUCCUCUUCCAGCUAACCACUUCUGUUCCUCACUAUCACUUAAUACAUGCCCAGAGAAUGCAAACGAUUGUUUAAUAUUAUCUUCGGUAGAACAUAAUUAGGUGCUGCUAAAAAUUCAUCAUCAUGCUUUGCAAAGCCAAGAAGAAAUGACUUUUGCAUUAUCCGUACCACUAGUCUUCCUCCGUGUACCAAUAACUGAGAUGUGAAUGUGUUCCUUAUCGGUCACGAGGGGACACCAUCCAGGGCAGUUGGAUUCACUGGGUUGGAGGAGGAAGGGGCCCAGGGCCCAUGGCCUCUGCUGUAAUUCUUCCUUCUCGGCUGCUGUGCAUCCUGGGAUUUGCCCAGGGCACUUAGUGUUGGUGGUCCCGCCCUCAGCUGCAACCUAAAAAUGGCCAGUGUGGGCUGGCAUCAAGGAAGCAGCCCCACCAAAACCUCAAAAAUUUGCAGUCAGAAAUGCUGGAUCCUGGCUUUCAUUCUAGUGCUGUUCAGUUCUUUCUUGGGACAGGGUUUUAAACUCUCUUCAGUUCUUCUUCAGACCCGUGUGACCCCUUUUGUUAUCAGAUCUCUUUUUCCAGCGGAGGGGGGGGGUGCAAACACAGGUUUUUCACUACACUUGAAUGCAGUCAGCUAGUGAAAUGUUCAUAGGAGUUCCCGUCGUGGAGCAGCGGAAACGAAUCCCACUAAGAACCAUGAGGACAUGGGUUCAAUCCCCGGCCUUGCUCAGUGGGUUAAGGAUCCGGUGUUGCCAUGAGCUGUAAGUCGCAGGUGCAGCUUGGAUCCUGCGUUGCUGGGGCUGUGGCGUAGGCUGGCCGCUACAGCUCCGAUCAGACCCCUAUCCUACAGCUCCAAUUAGACCCCUAUCCUGCAAACCUCCAUAUGCUGCCAGAGCAGCCCUAAAAAGACAAAAAGACACCCCCCAAAAAAAUAAAAUAAAUAAAAUAU